AUUGAACGCUGGCGGCAUGCCUUACACAUGCAAGUCGAACGGCAGCACGGGGAUUUGCCCCUGGUGGCGAGUGGCGCAGGGGUGAGAAAUACAUGGGAAUAUGUCCUCUAUUGGGGUAUAGUCCGGCGAAGACCGGGUUAAUACCACCUGCUAUUAUCGGGUAACAGCGGGGGCCCUUGGGACCUCGCGCUUUGCGGUUGGCCGUUGGUUGAUUAGCGCCGCAUUAGGUAGUUGGUGGGGUAAAGGCCUACCAAGGCGACGAUCAGUAGCCGGCCUGAGAGGAUGACCGGCCACACUGGAACUGAGACACGGACCAGACUCCUACGGGAGGCAGCAGUGGGGAAUUUUGGACAAUGGGCGAAAGCCUGAUCCAGCAAUGCCGCGUGUGUGAAGAAGGCCUUCGGGUUGUAAAGCACUUUUGUCCGGAAAGAAAUCCUUGGCCCUAAUACGGGCGGGGGAUGACGGUACCGGAAGAAUAAGCACCGGCUAACUACGUG
rnacentral:rRNA from 1 species